UCCUACGGGAGGCAGCAGUGGGGAAUAUUGCACAAUGGGCGCAAGCCUGAUGCAGCAACGCCGCGUGAGGGACGAAGGCCUUCGGGUUGUAAACCUCUUUUAGUAGGGAAGAAGCGACUGGGUUUUCCUGGGAGUGACGGUACCUGCAGAAAAAGCACCGGCUAACUACGUGCCAGCAGCCGCGGUAAUACGUAGGGUGCAAGCGUUGUCCGGAAUUAUUGGGCGUAAAGAGCUCGUAGGCGGUUUGUCGCGUCUGCUGUGAAAACCCGAGGCUCAACCUCGGGCCUGCAGUGGGUACGGGCAGACUAGAGUGCGGUAGGGGAGAUUGGAAUUCCUGGUGUAGCGGCGGAAUGCGCAGAUAUCAGGAGGAACACCAAUGGCGAAGGCAGAUCUCUGGGCCGUAACUGACGCUGAGGAGCGAAAGCAUGGGGAGGGAACAGGAUUAGAUACCCUGGUAGUCCAUGCCGUAAACGUUGGGAACUAGAUGUGGGGACCAUUCCACGGUCUCCGUGUCGCAGCUAACGCAUUAAGUUCCCCGCCUGGGGAGUACGGCCGCAAGGCUAAAACUCAAAGGAAUUGACGGGGGCCCGCACAAGCGGCGGAGCAUGCGGAUUAAUUCGAUGCAACGCGAAGAACCUUACCAAGGCUUGACAUAUACCGGAAACGGCUGGAAACAGUCGCCCCGCAAGGUCGGUAUACAGGUGGUGCAUGGUUGUCGUCAGCUCGUGUCGUGAGAUGUUGGGUUAAGUCCCGCAACGAGCGCAACCCUCGUCCUAUGUUGCCAGCACGUAAUGGUGGGAACUCAUGGGAUACUGCCGGGGUCAACUCGGAGGAAGGUGGGGAUGACGUCAAAUCAUCAUGCCCCUUAUGUCUAGGGCUUCACGCAUGCUACAAUGGCCGGUACAAAGGGCUGCGAUACCGCAAGGUGGAGCGAAUCCCAAAAAGCCGGUCUCAGUUCGGAUUGAGGUCUGCAACUCGACCUCAUGAAGUCGGAGUCGCUAGUAAUCGCAGAUCAGCAACGCUGCGGUGAAUACGUUCCCGGGCCUUGUACACAC
rnacentral:rRNA from 1 species